rnacentral:lncRNA from 1 species
GAAGACUGGAAUCAAGUUGUUGGCAGGACUUGUUUUCUCUGAAGGCUCCAGGGAGAAUCCGUCCUCGCCUCUUCUCUCUGCCAAGGCUUCCAACAAGCCUUGGUGUCCUUGGCUGGUGGCCACCUCACUCCAUCUCUGCCUCCGUUUUCCCACGGCCGUCCUCCCCACGUGUCUGCAAGGAGUUCGCCAGGGUGGGCCAACCUCUGGACCGCCUUUCACCUGGAGCCGGCUGAACCCGGGGGCUGGACUGACCCCAACUCCCUCGCCACUCCAACCCUCCCACCCAGGAGGGGCACCAGCAGCCAUGUCUGUGCUUACACAGUGCAACCCCACAGGUUCUCUCUCUCCCAGGAAUUUGGAAUUGAGGUAGAAUAACAGCCAGUAGACUGGAAAAUGAAUGAGAGCACUCAAGAUGCUGCGGGCAACUGAAGAAGUUAGCUCUGCAGAGGAAUGAAGACAAGAGAUGCCGUGAGAACUUCCUGGAUCCAGACACAAUUUUCCAUGCACCACUGUCCUUGAGGCCCAUGACAUCCCUUUAUAUCCUUCAAAUAAAUUCCCCUUUUUUCUUAAAA